rnacentral:rRNA from 1 species
AGAUCUCGUACCUUUUGCAUCAUGACUUAGCGAGAACCAUCCAAGCAAAGAGUCCUUUAGUUUGGCCCCCCGAAACUAUGGUGAGCUACUCCAAGACAGCCUGUCAUAAAGGGCGAACCCGUCUCUGUGGCAAAAGAGUGGGAAGAGCUUCGAGUAGAGGUGAAAUACCUACCGAACCUAGUUAUAGCUGGUUGUCUGAGAAAUGGAUAUGAGUUCAGCCUCCAGGCUUCCCCCUUCACCACGGUUUGUACCUCUACCGAUAAUUGAGAAACCAGGAGAGUUAGUCAAAGGGGGUACAGCCCUUUUGACACAAGAUACAACUUUUCCAGGUGGGUAAAGAUCAUAAUAUUUUUAAGGUAGUAUGUUCAGGUGGGCUUAAAAGCAGCCACCCUUGCUGAAAGCGUUAAAGCUCAAACAUAAACCACAACCGUAUAUUCAGAUAAUUUAAUCCAAACCCCCUAACACUAUCAGACCAUCUCAUGCAAACAUGAGAGUGCAUAUGCUAAGAUGAGUAAUAAGAAAGCACCUGACUUUCUCCUCGCACACGUGUAAAUCGGAACGAACCCCCACCGAAAUUUAACGGCCCCAAGCAAAGAGGGCAAUAGAUGCUCAGUCUAACAAACCAGAAAACCAUCUAAAAAGAAACCGUUAACCCUACACCGGUGUGCCCCCAAGGAAAGACUAAAAGAAGAAGAAGGAACUCGGCAAACACUAAGCCUCGCCUGUUUACCAAAAACAUCGCCUCUUGCAAACCCAAGAAUAAGAGGUCCAGCCUGCCCAGUGACUAUAAGUUCAACGGCCGCGGUAUUUUAACCGUGCAAAGGUAGCGUAAUCACUUGUCUUUUAAAUGAAGACCCGUAUGAAUGGCUAGACGAGGGCUUAACUGUCUCCUCCUUCAGGUCAAUGAAAUUGAUCUCCCCGUGCAGAAGCGGGGAUGGUACCAUAAGACGAGAAGACCCUAUGGAGCUUCAGACACCCGAGCAUAUCAUGUUAAACACCCUAAGAUAAAAGGUUAAACUUUGUGAACAAAUGCUGCCGUGUCUUCGGUUGGGGCGACCCCGGGGAAACAAAAAACCCCCGCGUGGAAUGAGAGUACUAACUCCCAAAGCUAAGAGCUACCGCUCUAAUAAUCAGAACAUCUGACCAAACCAGAUCCGGUAUAACCGAUCAACGAACCAAGUUACCCUAGGGAUAACAGCGCAAUCCCCUUUUAGAGCCCUUAUCGACAAGGGGGUUUACGACCUCGAUGUUGGAUCAGGACAUCCUAAUGGUGCA